ACUCAAAUGAAUUGACGGGGGCCCGCACAAGCGGUGGAUCAUGUGGUUUAAUUCGAAGCAACGCGCAAAACCUUACCUGGGUUUGACAUCUCCGGACCGCUGUAGAAAUACAGUUUCAGUAGCAAUACUGCCGGAAGACAGGUGCUGCAUGGCUGUCGUCAGCUCGUGUGGUGACAUGUUGGGUUAAGUCCCGCAACGAGCGCAACCCUUGUCUUUAGUUGCCAGCAUUAAGUUGGGCACUCUAGAGAGACUGCCGUGGUUAACACGGAGGAAGGUGGGGAUGACGUCAAGUCCUCAUGGCCUUUAUAUCCAGGGCGACACACGUGAUACAAUGGAUGACACAAAGGGAAGCGAACCUGCGAGGGGGAGCUAAUCUCAAAAAGUCAUUCUCAGUUCGGAUUGGAGUCUGCAACUCGACUCCAUGAAGUUGGAAUCGCUAGUAAUCGCGGAUCAGCACGCCGCGGUGAAUACGUUCCCGGGCCUUGCACACACCGCCCGU
rnacentral:rRNA from 1 species